rnacentral:lncRNA from 1 species
GAAAAAAUUCAGAUUCUAGAAUCAUAAAAAAACACUCCAAAACCUUUGAUUUUUCUGAUUCUUUAGUGGUUUUUUUUAGUUUCAAAACUGUCCUCUUCUGGUUCAAGUUUUCUAGAUCAUUUCUGGGUUUGCUUAUUGUGUUCAUUUGCCGAGAUUUUCUAGUUUCUCUUUGACCUUUAUUUGGUCACUUUUGCUAUUUCUCUUUCAAGGUAUGUAACUAAACCUUACAUCAAAUGCAAUUAUCAAUCUAGACCUAUACUUCAUAACAAUAUAUGUAUGGCUUGUAUGAUUCAAUGGCAGAAAUUAAUAUAUUCAUUUUUCCUUGUGUUUCAUAUAUAUAUUUCAGUAGUCUAAAAAUGGCUUUAAAAUUGCACAAACAACCUUGUCUCAUAAUAGAAUAUCUAGGUUAAUGCUUUUUUAAGAUUUAUUUGAGUUACACUUCCCCUCUUCCUCUCAUUUGAUUUUUCUUACUUAAAAUCAUUGUUCUAUUUUUAUCUUGAUUGUUUAACCAUGGGCUAUAUCUUACAAAUUUUGCGCUAAAUCACCAAGUUUAGAGGCUGAAGCUUUUGGGACCCUAUUAUGUGGUAUGAAUUUGAUGCUCUUCAUGAAGGAAGCCCAACUUUGGUGGACAAUUCAUGUCCAAAAAGAGGCAUAGCAUUCUUUGAAGUUACUAAGAUACUUGUAGUAAAUUAGUUUUCUUUUUCUUUAGUUAUUUCAUGUAUUAUUAGAUUAUGAUGUACUUAUAGAAAACUUUCAUUUUAUUUGGGAUUACUGUAAUUAAGUCUUGGUGUAGUGAGUUCCAAACAAAUGUUGCCGAGAUAUAUGGUUGUUUAUUAGUGAAUGUUGUUAUGCAUGGUUAAGGCCAUGGGCCAGCCCUUGAAGGUCCAUUCGUUUCAUCUAGUAAAGGCUAGACUUAGCCCAAAGAAGGAAAACUAAUGGUGAGAAGUCUGGGCCUAGGUCAUUGGGCAUAGGCCUUAAGCCCAAUAGUUUAAUCCAGCUGAAAAGUUUCUUUAUGAAUUGCAGUAAAAGAAUAUGUUCUUUUAUGCUUUGCAAAUUGGAACUUAAAUUGUAUCUUCGACCUAUGGAUUUUAAUCUUUCUAAUAAGAUGUGAAUUGGAGUACAAUUUUUGCAAAACAUGUAUUACGUG